rnacentral:lncRNA from 1 species
AAUUGUAAGGACAUAUCAUACUGUUCAUAUACUGUAUUAGUAAUUAGAGAUUCCUGGAUAGUGAAAGAUCUGCACUGGGAGCUUACUACCGGGGAGCACAUUUUCUCACAGCCGCCUCUAAUCUCCCACGGAAGCUUUCAAACUUCUCAGUCAGCAUGCCUUGGUGACGUCUCCAGCAGAGGGUACUCGCUUCAAUCCCCAUGCUGCUGUGGGUGGGCCACAACAACAGAUGACUUUUUAAAUGACAUGCUGUUUCCUGUUCUGCUACUUA